rnacentral:rRNA from 1 species
UACGAAGGGUCCAAGCGUUAUCCGGAUUUAUUGGGUUUAAAGGGUGCGUAGACGGGUUGUUAAGUCAGUGGUGAAAUCUUGCAGCUUAACUGUAAAAUUGCCAUUGAUACUGACGAUCUUGAGUACACUUGAGGUGAGCGGAAUAUGUCAUGUAGAGGUGAAAUUCUUAGAGAUGACAUAGAACACCGAUUGCGAAGGCAGCUCACUAAAUUGUAACUGACGCUGAGGCACGAAAGCGUGGGGAUCAAACAGG